CCAAUAGCGUAUAUUAAAGUUGUUGCAGUUAAAAAGCUCGUAGUUGAAUUUCGGGAUUCGUCCAUUGGUCAGGCUUAACUGUCUGUACUGGUGUGUCGGAUUUCUACCUUCUGAAGAACCUUUAUGCCAUUAAUUUGGUGUGUUGGGGAAUCAGGACUGUUACUUUGAAAAAAUUAGAGUGUUUAAAGCAGGCUAACGUCUGAAUACAUUAGCAUGGAAUAAUGAAAUAGGACGGUACGGUUUUAUUUUGUUGGUUUCUAGGAUCGCCGUAAUGAUUAAUAGGGAUAGUUGGGGGCAUUAGUAUUCAAUUGUCAGAGGUGAAAUUCUUGGAUUUAUUGAAGACUAACUACUGCGAAAGCAUUUGCCAAGGAUGUUUUCAUUAAUCAAGAACGAAAGUUAGGGGAUCGAAGACGAUCAGAUACCGUCGUAGUCUUAACCAUAAACUAUGCCGACUAGGGAUUGGACGAUGUUAAUUUUUUAAUGACUCGUUCAGCACCUUACG
rnacentral:rRNA from 1 species